CUAUACAUGCAGUCGAGCGGACGGAUGGGAGCUUGCUCCCUGAAGUCAGCGGCGGACGGGUGAGUAACACGUGGGCAACCUGCCUGUAAGACUGGGAUAACUUCGGGAAACCGGAGCUAAUACCGGAUAAUGCAUAACCUCUCAUGAGGUUAUGCUGAAAGAUGGUUUCGGCUAUCACUUACAGAUGGGCCCGCGGCGCAUUAGCUAGUUGGUGAGGUAACGGCUCACCAAGGCAACGAUGCGUAGCCGACCUGAGAGGGUGAUCGGCCACACUGGGACUGAGACACGGCCCAGACUCCUACGGGAGGCAGCAGUAGGGAAUCUUCCGCAAUGGACGAAAGUCUGACGGAGCAACGCCGCGUGAGUGAUGAAGGUUUUCGGAUCGUAAAACUCUGUUGUUAGGGAAGAACAAGUGCCGGAGUAACUGCCGGCACCUUGACGGUACCUAACCAGAAAGCCACGGCUAACUACGUGCCAGCAGCCGCGGUAAUACGUAGGUGGCAAGCGUUGUCCGGAAUUAUUGGGCGUAAAGCGCGCGCAGGCGGUCUCUUAAGUCUGAUGUGAAAGCCCACGGCUCAACCGUGGAGGGUCAUUGGAAACUGGGGGACUUGAGUGCAGAAGAGGAAAGUGGAAUUCCACGUGUAGCGGUGAAAUGCGUAGAGAUGUGGAGGAACACCAGUGGCGAAGGCGACUUUCUGGUCUGUAACUGACGCUGAGGCGCGAAAGCGUGGGGAGCAAACAGGAUUAGAUACCCUGGUAGUCCACGCCGUAAACGAUGAGUGCUAAGUGUUAGAGGGUUUCCGCCCUUUAGU
rnacentral:rRNA from 1 species